UACGUAGGGUCCGAGCGUUGUCCGGAAUUACUGGGCGUAAAGCGUGCGUAGACGGUUAUUUAAGUCAGGUGUGAAAGCCCAGGGCUCAACCUUGGAAUUGCAUUUGAGACUGAAUAGCUAGGGUGCGGAAGAGGGAAGCGGAAUUUCCGGUGUAGCGGUGAAAUGCGUAGAUAUCGGAAGGAACACCAGUGGCGAAAGCGGCUUCCUGGUCCAGCACCGACGUUCAGGCACGAAAGCGUGGGGAGCAAACAGG
rnacentral:rRNA from 1 species